UUGAGGGGCACCGGUUUACAUAUACGAACAAUAAGGAAAGCUAAACGUCAUUGUCAGUGAUAAUAUUUAUCCAUCACAAUGGCAUUUGACAUAUAUUAUUUCAAGGACACGACCGUGGAAGUCGGAAAAUUUGACUGGAUGAGUGUUGAAGACCAGCAGUGUAACCUACAUCUUCACAAAUGAUCACACAGUGCCCCAGACUCGAUGAUGAGGAUGGGUGGAUAAAUGUGGGACAAAGGCAGAAAGAAGAAAGAUGGUCCAGGCUUUUUUCCUGCAAAGGUUUUAAUGCUCAGUGUGACCUCUGCCAGAAGAGGGAGGAAUUCAUAAAGGGUGUAGAUAUCUGGAACCAAACACUCAAGAGGAAGACCAAGCCAAACAGUAGGUGGAUGAAGGACAUGAAAGGCCAACAAAACAGCAAAAGAGCAAAAAGGCAACCUGUACCCCAAAAUAAGCAGCAGACCAAAUAAUUAAAGGCCUGAAGAAGGAGUUGAUGGCAAAGCAAGCAUCUUUAGAGCCAAAUACCAAAAAGGAGGAGUCAUCAGAUGAGGACCUACUGCCCAGUAACUGGAAGCUUCCUGAAGUAAUUUAAAAUGUCACAUUUCAAACCUCAACUUCUGCAUCCAAUUGGUCAACAUCCACAACAUCUGUGGACUCACCAGUUUCUGCACGUGUUUCUCCUCAAGUGUUGUCUAAUGAUAUGGUGUGUCUUCUGCCAGGCUCUGAUGUUGAAGUCCCUAGACGAAAGCUUAACUCUGCGGACGGCAAAUCCGUCAGUGUACAUCGGGGACCUUGCUGUGCUUGUCUAUGGCAGGGAAACACUGUCGCAUUCAAGUUUGACGGGGAGACAGUCAGAGGCACACAAAGACGUGGAAUCAAAAGCACAACUGGAUAACACAAAACUUGAUGCUAUAAUUGGUGACUGCAUUUAAUUAAAGGGAAAUUUCUUUUUGAAAUAAAUUCCUACACAUCACUUAUGUAUAGUUUUUACAAAAUCAUUGCAGUGUUCCAUUUUGGAUGUGACCGUGAUAGAGUUCAGUUUCUGUCACCUUCAACAUGGAACAAAAAUGGAACAUUGCGCGAAAAGCCUCUAAUUAGAGCAACAAAAAUGCAAAGAAAACGUUUUGGCCCUUUCCCGCCUAGUUCUAUCCAGGUGAACUGACAUAGUCUGUUCACAAAUACAUUAUUCUCUGCUUAAAUAACACGGUUAUUUACAUGGUUAUCAGGCUCACUGUGAAGUAACUAUUUUUUAGGGCUAUUUUUUAUAUAUAUAUAUAUAUAUAUAUAUAUAUAUAAAAUAGCCCUGCACAGCAAGAUAAAGUGGUGGGUCCAGUCAGACUUCUACCUAAUAAUCUGCAAUCAUCAGUUCAGAUUUGUUAAUGCGGCAAAAAAUAAAUGUAGUCAUUUUGCUGAUGGCAUUAGUGUUAAGAUACUUACCAAAAAAAAUUUCAAAUAUCAUGUAGAAACAUGCCACAUUGACUGUUGUUGUGUUCAUUCUGGAUGGUGAAUUUGGGGUGAUAUAAAAAAAAAAAACGUGAAAG